rnacentral:ribozyme from 13 species
GAAAAAAAAAAAAAAAAAAAAAAAAAAAAAAAAAAAAAAA